ACCUAAUUGAAAUGUGGUUUUUGAGUGAUCCUUUCUGUCCCUUUUUUUAGUACCCUGAGAUUUAUAUUUCUGUGUGCCCUGUAACCCAGGAAAGACAAGGUUGUGAGUCCUAUGCACAGCUGACUUCGCCUGAGCUGAUGCAGUUUUGAACCUUGAGUCUCAGCACAGAGGAUAAGGAUGCACAUCUACAAAGAAAGUAACGGUUUUAAAGACUCAGUUUAAAAGACAAACUCUGUACCGAGAAAGAGAAGGAAUACUUUGAAUGCAGCAGGACAGCCUGUCACCCAAGAGAAAACGGUCGACACGCUGCUGAAGCUGACUGCAUAUUUUCAUUUUCAAAAAGCACUCAAGACUAAAACCACCUGUGAGUGAGUCUAGCCUCUCCAGCUGAUUUAGUAGGACCUAGAGCAGAGUGUCCUGUCAAAAGGCACGCUUAUUUUCACAGGGCAAAUGAAUCAGUUUUUAUGCGGCAGGGCUACAGCUCGUUGGGAUGAAAUCGUUAAAACUUUGUAAAACAAACUGUGAGAGGUGCAAUAUUUCAUUAUUCAAACUGGGAGAAUAGACAGGCAUCCUAUGGAAAAGUGAGUCAUAAUCUCUGUGGUACAUUCUGUUCAUUCUUUUAUAACAAACAUGAGUGUUUGUUUGCUAAGUCCAUUAGCAUCCAGCUAUAAACUUGAUUAGGAGGACAAGUUCCUCAGCCUGCCGCUGGGUUAGCAUGUGUAUUGCCGUUUGGUCGCUCUGUUGUAUAACAGCACCAGUCAUGUCAGACUGCCGUUCCAAAAGGAAAUAACAGCACUUUCCUCGUUUAUUUCAAGUCCAUCAAAAAUUUCUAUUAAGGACAUCAAAGCAAUGACUCGAAUACUUUCCAUGCUUUCUGAAUGACUCACCUUUUAAAGAAACUGCUGGGAAAUAAGGCACCACUAAGGUUCCUUAAUUUCAGGGUUUGAAACUUUUAAGAACCUCAUGGAAAAUAGUCAGAACAAGAAGCCACAAACCCACCUUCUCAUAAAACCCUUCUCCAUAUUUUAUAUAUUAGUAUUAAUUUCUGUGCUACUAGUUUGAGUUGUUUUACAACCUGCAUGCCAGAAGAUAAAAGAGCUCAUUAGUCUAUCUUUGUGACUGUGGAAGGUAAGUUAAUUGAUCAAGUGUAUUUAUUGCUACCAUUGAUGGAGGAUGAUGGCCAAGGGAACAACUUUUAAAUAGGAUGAUGAUUGGCUUCAUCUAAAACUAGUAGCAAAAUAAGGGGUUGUCUGCUGGAGACAAAGGGACUUCUGGGAAGUUUCUAUGCAGCAUAAAUAGCAUUUUCGAAAUCUGACUCUUGCCUGGUUGUAAGAAUGGGCAAAGUUUCCAAAUUUUUAAAUGCUUGCUGCAUUUCUAAUGACUGUAGAUGGGGUGGGAGGCAUUGCUGCUGACUUCAGUGGGAAGAGACUUGGAGAUUUGCCAUGGGUUAGGAACUUUUCAGGUUAUAGCUUGAAGUGUUUCAUCUAUUUCCAUAGAAUCACUUGCUUAUCACAAUUAUUUGCCCAGCACAGUGCUCCAGGAAGUGAGGUUACUAUCCUGCAACACCUGAAAGGAAGGGCUGAGGACAAUGAGUAUCCACUGUUAGGCUCUGGAAUUCCAGCUUCGGGAGUGCAUGAUGGUACCCUUAAGACUGCUCAUCUUGCUGACCUUUUUCUUCCACCUUCUAUCCACAUUUCACCAGAGCAGUGGCAUGCAGUUGCAGACACACUCUAGCACAGGAUGGAGCAUGCAUUGAAAACCUGUGGAGUAACAGCAUGAGACUACAGGUAAAAUAGCUGCUUCACUCCCCAGACCGAACUUACGUUGAGACACUCAAGUAGAAAAUACAGAGUCUUUUGUCUUUUUACCAUGGCAAAUAUCUGGUGAUAGUUUUAGAGCUUCUUUCUGUCUCUGAUAAUAAUUUUUUAAAAUACAUUUAUCUUCAAGGUAUCCAAUUAUUAAAGUCCAUUCCUCCAUUAAAGUCUCUUAUUGCAGGUGUUUUUAGCAGUCAGGGAAUAAGUCUGUAUUGUCCUUCCUCAAGAUCUCUUCAAGCCAUUGUUCACUGAAGUGGAGAAAUGCUUCAGAGCCAUGUCAGAUGCCUUCAGCAUGCAGCCAUGUGGAUGAGCUGGCCCCAGGAGCCAGUCCAGUUCCAGGUUCCCAGAAAGAUGUCUCACACCUCUCACAGUGUAUCAGCAGUAGAAGGCUCUCCUCACCCACUGCAGCACCUCAGGUUACCUCUGAAGAAAACCUGGCUUUAAAAGAGGAGCUCAGACGGGAAAGCAGCAAUGUUCCAAGGGAAUUUCCAAGUCAAGCAGGAGAGCAACUGGCUUCUCAAAGAGAUCCCUAAAACAUUCAGCUACGCAGUUGGAGCAGCCUCCGGGAUUUUUAUCCUGCAAGUCAAUGAACACUGUUCAGAGGAAUGAAGAAAAACAGGACUGGGGAGAAGGAUGCACAAGGCAGCUGGGAAAGCACUAUUUUCAGGCCUGUUCCACCACCAGCAGCAAGUGAACCUUACUCAUUUGGUGGAAAAAACCAGUGGCUGAGCCCUCCAGUGCAUCUCCUUGGGGGUCAAGAACAGCAGACACAGCUCUCCACUGGCCUCUGCAUAGCUGAGGCAGCUGCACAGGUAAGGCACUAGGACUUUACACGGCUCCUCCGGUGGAACAGAGACGUCCA